GACGAACGCUGGCGGCGUGCUUAACACAUGCAAGUCGAACGGAAAGGCCCUGCUUUUUUGGGGUGCUCGAGUGGCGAACGGGUGAGUAACACGUGAGUAACCUGCCCUUGACUUUGGGAUAACUUCAGGAAACUGGGGCUAAUACCGGAUAGGAGCUCCUGCUGCAUGGUGGGGGUUGGAAAGUUUCGGAGGUUGGGGAUGUACUCGCGGCUUAUCAGCUUGUUGGUGGGGUAGUGGCUUACCAAGGCUUUGACGGGUAGCCGGCCUGAGAGGGUGACCGGCCACAUUGGGAAUGAGAUACGGCCCAGACUCCUACGGGAGGCAGGAGUGGGGCAUAGUGCACAAUGGGCGGAAGCCUGAUGCAGCAACGACGCGUGAGGGAUGACGGCCUUCGGGUUGUAAACCGCUUUCGCCUGUGACGAAGCGUGAGUGACGGUAAUGGGUAAAGAAGCACCGGCUAACUACGUG
rnacentral:rRNA from 1 species